rnacentral:rRNA from 1 species
ACGGAAGGCAGCAGUGGGGAAUCUUGCUCAAUGGGCGAAAGCCUGAAGCAGCAACGCCGCGUGCGGGAUGAAGGCCCUCGGGUUGUAAACCGCUUUCAGCAGGGAAGAAAUCAGACGGUACCUGCAGAAGAAGGUCCGGCUAACUACGUGCCAGCAGCCGCGGUAACACGUAGGGGCCAAGCGUUGUCCGGAUUCAUUGGGCGUAAAGAGCUCGUAGGCGGUUCAGUUAGUCGGGUGUGAAAUCUCCGGGCUCAACCCGGAGGGGCCACCCGAUACUGCUGUGACUCGAGUCCGGUAGGGGAGUGGGGAAUUCCUGGUGUAGCGGUGAAAUGCGCAGAUAUCAGGAGGAACACCGGUGGCGAAGGCGCCACUCUGGGCCGGUACUGACGCUGAGGAGCGAAAGCGUGGGUAGCAAACAGGAUUAGAUACCCUGGUA